rnacentral:lncRNA from 1 species
GUCCGUGCGUCCGUGUGUCUGUCUGUCCGUGUGUCCAUCUGUCCGGCUGUCCGUGUGGCUGCGUGUCUGUUUGUCUGUGUGUCCAUCUGUCCGUGUGUCCAUCUGUCCGUGUGUCCCUAUGGCUGUAUGUCUGUCUGUCCAUCUGUCCGUCUGGCUUUGUGUCCAUGUGUCCGUACGGCUGUGUGUCCGUCUGUCUGUGUGUCCCUAUGGCUGUAUGUCCAUCUGUCCGUCUGUCUGUGUGUCCAUCUGUCCGUCUGUCCACGUCUCCGUGUGUCCAUCUGUCUUUGUGUCUGCAUGGCCGUGUGUCUGUCUGUCUGUCUGGCUGCCUGUCCGUGUGUGUCCAUCUGUCCGUGUGUCCGUCUGUCUGUGUGUCCGUAUGGUCGUGUGUCCGUGUGUCCGUCUGUCUGUGUGUCCCUAUGGCUGUAUGUCCGUCUGUCCGUCUGUCUGUGUGUCCAUCUGUCCGUCUGUCCAUGUCUCCAUGUGUCCAUCUGUCUUUGUGUCUGCAUGGCCGUGUGUCCGUCUGUCUGUAUGGCUUUGUGUCCAUAUGUCCAUGUGUCCGUCUGUCCAUCUGUCCGUGUGUCCGUCUGUCCAUGUGUCCGUCUGUCCAUGUGGCUGCGUGUCUGUCUGUCCGUGUGUCCAUCUGUCCGUCUGGCUUUGUGUCCAUGUGUCCGUACGGCUGUGUGUCCGUCUGUCCGUGUGUCCGUCUGUCCAUGUGUCCGUCUGUCCAUCUGUCCGUGUGUCCGUCUGUCUGUGUGUCCCUAUGGCUGUAUGUCUGUCUGUCUGUCUGUCCGCAUGGCUGUGUGCCCGUCUGUCUGUCUGUCCAUCUGUCCGUCUGUCCACGUCUCCAUGUGUCCAUCUGUCCGUGUGCCUGCAUGGCCGUGUGUCCGUCUGUCCAUGUGUCCGUCUGUCCAUCUGUCCGUGUGUCCGUCUGUCUGUGUGUCCCUAUGGCUGUAUGUCUGUCUGUCUGUCUGUCCGCAUGGCUGUGUGCCCGUCUGUCUGUCUGUCCAUCUGUCCGUCUGUCCACGUCUCCAUGUGUCCAUCUGUCCGUGUGCCUGCAUGGCCGUGUGUCCGUCUGUCCAUGUGUCCAUCUGUCUGUGUGUCUGCAUGGCCGUGUGUCCGUGUGUCCCAUGGCCAUGUGUCCACCUGUCCGUGUGUCCGUAUGGCUGUGUGUCCGUCCGUCCGUCUGUCCGUGUGUCCAUCUGUCUGUGUGUCUGCAUGGCCGUGUGUCCGUCUGUCCCUGUGUCCAUCUGUCUGUGUGUCUGCAUGGCCGUGUGUCCGUCUGUCUGUAUGGCUUUGUGUCCAUAUGUCCAUGUGUCCGUCCAUCCGUGUGUCCGUCUGUCCGUAUGGCUGUGUGUCCGUGUGUCCGUCUGUCCGUGUGUCCAUCUGUCUGUGUGCCUGCAUGGCCGUGUGUCCGUCUGUCCGUGUGUCCCUAUGGCUGUGUGUCUGUGCAUCCAUGUGUCCGUCUGUCCGUGUGUCCGUCUGUCCGUGUGUCUGCAUGGCCGUGUGUCCGUAUGGCUGUGUGUCCAUCUGUCCAUCUGUCCGUAUUGCUGCGUGUUCCUGUGUGUCCGUCUGUCCGUCUGUCUGUGUGUCCGUAUGGCUGCGUGUCUGUGUGCCUGUCUGUCCGUGUGUCCCAUGGCCAUGUGUCCAUCUG